CACAUAGCUUGCUGUGAUUUGGAAACAACCAUUUGUCUUCUUAGGGAAGGACCAUGGAGUUUAUUCAGUCAAGGUCCCACAGAGGGAGUUGAGAGUUGCAGUAACCUGGCAUGAGUAAUCCCUGAUUCCAGGUGUGCCCUCUAUGAAACACAUGUAACCAUCUGCCAGGCCUCCCCAGCUGGUAACCGCUUCAGUCCUGCUCACUGAAUGAAUUGUCCAAUGCCUAUUGAUAUGGACCACCGUUGCUAAUGCUGUUGCCCCAAGAAUUAUGAAGUGAAAUAAAGACAGGUCCUUUAUUUGGAGAUGUAAGCCAGGAGAAGAAAGCCACAGACUGUAUCCCCAUCAUUGCCAUGGAGAGCAAAGGAGUCACUCUGUACAGAAUGACUACCAUAGCUGGCAUCAGACUCACUAAGCAAAGCAGAAGAAUCUUGAGUUUCUUAGAGAAAGUCAAAUCAAAGAGGAACGGGCACAACCUGGUCAACUAAAUCAGAUGCCAUGUCUGAUGUUGUCCUUUCCUUCUGUCCUGAUGUAUCUACUUCUGGGACUUUCCAGACUUAUUUCAGAUUCCUUCUGGGUAGUACCCAACCACAAACAUCAGUCGUAAGUUAGUAGCCUGAUUAUGCAUUUAUUCGUUGGGUAUCAGUGCCAUUAUUCCUUGAAGAGAUACUUCCAUCCUGCCCUUCUUAGGAAGUCCUUUGACACAUUAGCAGGUGGAAAGCUUUGGCGUGAAGCACGCAGAAAAUUCCAGGAAUUGUGCAGCUAUAUAGCAGGCCUAUGAGGCAAACCUCUUCAACACAAGCACACACCUUCUACUUGGGCUUGAUGGGGUAGCAUAACUAUUGUGCCAAUUUCUGAUACGUUUCUUCCCCCAAGCCAUAUGAAUGGAGAAAACUAAACUCUGGCAAUGCAGAAGAGCCUUCCACACUCUGUCCAAAGAGACACAGCCUGGUUAAAUACAUUUGAACUCCCUGAAUCCAUCACCAUCACAAGCAGUAUGAUGGCUUUUAAAGGAAGGUCCCUGAACCAGCAGCAGCAUCUCCUUGGGAAAGAUUAACCAGUCAAGGCACGCUAAAUCAAACUCUGGGGAUAUGUUUUAACAAACCCUCCAGCGAGUCUGCCGUACAUGUUCGAGAACAAACACUCUUGCCACAUUUAGCCUGUCCGUCUAUGACAAAGGCUAGAUAGCUGUCAAAAACCAGACUAGACUGGGAAGGUUCCCAGGACCAGAUCAUUUGGCAGAGUUGCAGGCUGUGAGGGGUUUGAAGCUAAUGGUGCCAGGUCACCAGCCCAGGACUAGAAAAAAUGCAAAAUGGCAUGUUCAGGGUUCUCUGGAUCUAUGAUAUUGUGUGACAAGUGGCAAGCAAACUUGGCAUUUUCUAAACAGGUGAUGAUGUAACAGAGUCAUAACCUGUUUUCCUGGAUCUCUUGCCAGAUUUGUAGGGCUUCAACAUGUAAAAUGUGAAGUACUGUGGAUUUCAUACCCCUACACUGAGUAGCAUACCUCAUGCUCUCUCUUAUAUGAACUGACAAGCACUGUAACUCUCACAUGCUGCAGAUAUUCAUACAGAGAAAAUUCUUCAUCAUUAGUUCUGGUACUAAAAAUGAGGCUGUACCGAGAAAACAAACAGGGACUUGCAUUUUCUCAACCCAAACAUUUUGCCAGAUGCCAUGUUUUGUGUUAAGAGGAAUUAAUAAGAAAAAUCUUACAAACCUAGGUGCACCUGUUUUAUAUAUUCAAUCAAUGAGGCUUUGUUUUUAUUCCAGAAGAAUGGAAGCUUCUCCUCAUGAGGAUAUUUACAGCACGACAGCUCCAAUGUAAUUUCAAAACACUGGGCCCAGAUGUAGUUGUAAUCUUGCAUUCCACCUAAACACAAGCAUAUUUAAUUUUUUAAGGUCUAAAAUUGGAACAGAGUCAAGUAUCCUGUACCUUGGGGACAAAUGAAUCCGUUGCAAAGAAAGUACAUUUAAACAGGAAAAGAUGAAUUUGACAUAUUAGCAUAUAAAGUCACGGCCUGCCAUUUUAUUACCCAGGCAUGAACAGGCAAUCCUAAAUGUUCCCAUAUGGGUAACUGGAUCAGAGCUAAGGUUCAACUGUGCAUCAAAAUCAACUGAGGGGCAGGGGAAGGGUCAGCCUUUUUUUUCCCCCCCGAUCAUACAUUACAAAAAGGAUUCAUCAAUGUACAUUUCUUCUGUGAAAAUCAUUUUAAACUGAGAGUGAUACUUCUAAAAAAUGUUUUUGCAAACCAUUCAUAAAUACACAUGUAAGCUAAGUAUACUCAUUCGGCGGAAUAAUAGUGGCUGACAUUUAGUGAGUGUUCACUAUUACCGGGCACCGUUUGAAGAGUUUGUCGCCCGUAUUUUACAGAUGGGGAAACAAUCACAUACAGUAAGUAACGUGCCAGUGAAGGCCGAGCCCAGAGCACAGGCUGUCUUGCGGACCCUGUGCUCUUAAUGACACCAAACUGCUUCAGGGGAUGAAAGAAAGGCUGCUGUGCUAACUCUCGGGAGAGAAGGGACCCAGGCCCCCUUGCGUCCGGGGCUGCCGUCACCUGUGCUCAGUUUCUGGUUCUUUCCUCUGAAAACCCAGUUUUCAAAAGGGUAUAAUCAUAUUUCCUAUCUUCUAAGAUGCAAGAUUUUCAUAUUUUAAAAUCUCUGAAUUGGAUGUGUCUUAAGUUUGAUGGCUAAAAACCAUCAUUGUGGCAUGAGUUUGGCCAGAAACAUUUGUUUUUUCUUCCUUGGUGGUACGGUGUAUUUUCCAACCAGUGGCAUCUUGGAUUUUGAAAUAUGGUAACUUUGAAGGAAGGACUUUCGGCCAGAUUUCAACUUGUUGUACUUGAUAUCUGCCUAUAAAAUACAUAUUCUCAAUUCCAUCAGGGUAUUUCGGAAGUACUGAAUUAGAAAAAAAGCUCAUACUAAGAAAAUAGUCAAGAUACAUCAAAAUAUUAUCUAGAUUAAUAUCUAUGUAGAUCUAGAUUCUAGCAGGAAGAAUUUCUAUGUCCUUUCUGGAUCCUUUACUCACCUUCUAAGUUUUGUAUUUCUCUCUGAGAUCAUUUUCACCAAGAAAUAGAAAACAGAAAAAAGGACGAGAAUAAUAAAACAGAAGCCCUUGGCUGGACGGCUCUCGGACAGAAAGAAUUUAAAUGGCAAAACAGGUGUACAGAGCACGCAGGGGUGAGGAUGCUUACGUGUGGAGAGUGUGUGUGCCUGUGGAUGAGGCAGGCCGGGCCCCGAGGACAAAACCUCCAGGCUGAGCCAGGAUGCUGUGUUCUAAGCUCCUCAACGUAGCUGGCUCUGCCUGCGUUUUCCCUCAGGAGACACAGCCGACACACAGCGACACUCGGAAACAAUUCCCAACGGCGACACCAGGUUCCUAGCUAACCUCCCGCAAGCACACCUGGAUGUGUCUGGAAGGUGACAGAUGGUGGGGCGGGGCGCUCGGGGCGCUAGUGCAGGACCGCUCUGCCACGGGGCGGGGCGGGAGGGAGCCCUGUCCUCCCUGGGGGAGUGCUGAGCAGAGACUAGGUUUGCGGGGCGGGGCGGGCUGUGCCUCGUCCAACAGAGACUGGGGGUGUGGUGCUGUCUCGCCGGCCCUGCAGCUUCCAGUCGUGGUCUGUGCUAAUUCCCAUCACCUGGAAAGCUGGCAGAGACACACAAGUACCGGCUUGUGCAAGGCUACCUGACGGUCUGUGUGUCCCCAGUGACGACCGGGAAAGUGGCCUAUCACCCAAGUACGGCCUACGGCCUGCUAGAGUAAUCCUGUCGGGGACCAGCUCAGCCACACCGCCCACCUACGAUUUAUCAACUGAGGGCAGGACGGCCCAGAGGGGAGACGCGGAGGCCCUUUUACCCUGGCAGAGAAGGCAAGCCGAGGAAGAUCCGUCUCCUCCAGACGCAGAGCAGUAACUCCACUCUGGGCUCAGAAAGCCAGAGCUGGGGCCGUGUCUGCCUACCUGGAACACCAUUGUCAAACGGGUAACUCGCCACCAGGGCGCCGCCGUGGAGGUUUGCAGAGAGGACGAACGUCUCUGUUUUCAGCCACUCCAUGACAGCUGCAGUUUCAGGCUGCCUCGAUACAUUAUUAAGUUCAAAAGCAUCUGGGAAGUUUCUAUUCAGGUCAUAGUAGUUACUAUUUUCCCUUUAAAAGAAAGAAUAUUUUAGUUUUUAUUUUAAAUAUUGAUGAAUAUUUUAGGUAUGUGAGGAAGUAGACUCAUGCAACAUGCAAACCUUUUGUCUGGGCACCAGCUGUUUUUCAAAAUGCGACUACAGGGCUGGGGAUGGUUGUCUUGGUGGCCCCCAAUGAACCACACCUGGCGUUCACAUAACCUCCGGUCCCCUCCCGUGUGACUUGCUCUCACCAGUGGGAUGGUAGCUAUUGUGAUGUGAACAGAGGUUUGAUAAGUGUGUGUGUUUUAGGGUUUCGCUCUGGGCACGCUCCCUUUGGGAACCCUGAGACUCCGAUACUAGCCAUGUGAAGAGUCCGCGUGGAGAAAUGAGAAACCCAGGUGACAGCCAGAAUUGAGACUCCACACAUGUCCCAGUCCAGCUGUCUCAGCCACACCCAGCUGAAGCUCCAGACACGUGGUGCAGAGAUUGGCCAGCCUUGCUCUAUCUUGUCCAAAUUCCUAACUUCUACAAUUGAGGAAUACCUUCUGGAGUGGUGGAGCAGAGGUGGCUCAGAGAGGGCAAGGGAGCGUGUGUCUCCGUGAGAAUGCCCGCUGUGGCCGGAGGCCGCCAUGCGUGUCUCGGUGGAUGACGGACUGAGAACCACUGCAUUAGAUGUAUGCAGAUUUUAAUAGGGGAAAAUCCAAGUUUGGAAUCAGCACAAUUUACAUAGGUUUCGAUUUUAAUAUUCCCCUAUUGCACCUUUGUGCAAUUUUUGCCAUAUCUGUGUACGUCUGAUUGCCACGUUCUCACAUUUCUGAAACUUCAGUCGUCUGCACAUCAUCCUCACAAUGUUUUGCCCUAUCUGCACAUUAUCUACACUACUGCUUAGUUUAUACUUUCUUUCAACUGGCUCACUCUUCACUUACAUGAAAAAUGAAAACCUCUGUGUCAUUAUCAUGUUGCUAGAUAUGUUUUUUUUUAAUAUGAAAUUUAUUGUCAAAUUGGUUUCCAUACAACACCCAGUGCUCAUCCCAACAGGUGCCCUUCU